rnacentral:rRNA from 1 species
AAUUUGGUUCUGGCUCCGAACAAACACUAUUGGCGCGUUUUAGACAUUGCAAAUCAAAAGACUCGAAUGAGAGGAUCUUGGUGCACGGGAGUAGAAAAACCUUGGACAUAACAAAACAUUGGGAGGAAGUCGAAAGAUGAAUGCCGGAAUAAAAAAAGGAUAAGGAGGUCCGUGAAGAAAAUGUGCUUAGUCAAAUAAGCAAGGAGUGACAAGGUUUCUGAGUGGUAGUUGGUUGGGUAAAGGCUAACCAAGCCGAUGAUAGAUAGCGGUGUUGAAAGACAGUACCGCCUCACUGGUGUUGAAAACGAACCAGACUUCAAUGGAAGGCAGCAGUCGAGAAUCUUGGUCAAUGGGCGAAAGCCUGAACCAGCGACGCCAAAGAUCGAAGACAGCAUCUGUUGUAAAGGUCGGAACUUCACGAGGAGAAUGACGUUAGUGAAGGAGUAGUCUCGUCUAAUGAUUGUGCCAGCAGACGCGGUCAUACAACGGAGGCAAGUGUUGUUCAUAAGGACUCGGUGUAAAGGGCAGGUAGGCGGUGAUCGGAUUGACUUGACGGAAAGCUAUCGAAAAAAGGUAAAGAACGUCGAAGUAACAAGGUCACUAGAGUGUGAGAGAGGUAUACGGAAUGACUUCGGGACUAGUGAAAUGGGAUGAUCGAAGUCGGAACUCGAGUGGUGAAGACGGUAUACUGGAUCAGGGUUGGGAAGGAUGAAACCUUUAAACGGAAGGGACUGAAAGGAAACGGAAGGGAAGUCGAAAGACCCAAUGAAACUGACGCUGAACUGCGAAAGCAUAGGGAGCAAAAGGGAUUAGAGACCCCUGUAGUCUAUGCUGUAAACGAUGUACAUUAAUUGUCAAGAACAUCUUCGGAUGGGAUUGGUGAAUGAGCUAACGCGUUAAAUGUACCACCUGGAGAGUAUAGUCGCAAGACCGAAACUCAAAGAACCAGCCGGGCACUUAACAGACCUGUGGAACAUGCCAUUUAAUUCGACAAUACGCGAGGAACCUUACCGUACUUAGGAGGUCCUGGGAAACCGAACCGCUUAUGGGUGGAGAGGAUCGAGCUUCGGCUUGAGAGAAGGGAUCGUCAGGUGUUACAUAGCUGUCGUCAGUUCGUGCCGUGAGGUCUUUGGUUCAGUCCAAUUAACGAACGUAACCCAAAUGACAAGAGGUGUGGAGGAAAAGCCACAUUGAGGUCAGAAUGCUCAAGACAAUUGAGAGGAAGUUGGAUGAAGUCAAGUCCGUAUGACCCUUAUAGUACGGGCUAUCGGUGUGUUACAAUAGUCCUCGAACAAAGGGUAGCGAUGAUGCGAAUCGGAGCGAUUCCCCGAAAAGAGGCUGGAAUUCAGAUUGUAGACUGAAACUUGUCUACAUGAAGUCGGAACAGGUAGUAAUCGAUGAUCAGAACGCAUCGGUGAGCGUGAUUCUAAGUGUUGGACUUACCGCCCGUCAGUGACUGAGAACUGUCUGGAUACGAAGUGACGAGUUAACCUCAUCUGUGUAGGAUGAGGGAGAGUUGUCAUGACUAGCUGGGUGGUGAUUGGUUAUAAGUCGUAACAAGGUGACCGUUGGUGAACCAGU